rnacentral:rRNA from 1 species
AUUGAACGCUGGCGGCAGGCCUAACACAUGCAAGUCGAGCGAGCGGGGGACGGGUGAGUAAUGUAUGGGGACUGCCCGAUAGAGGGGGAUAACAACUGGAAACGGUGGCGAAUACAGCAUACUCACGGGUAACCCAUAUUGGAUUAGCUAGUAGGUAAGGUAAUGGCUUACCCAGGCGACGAUCCCUAGCUGGUCUGAGAGGAUGAUCAGCCACACUGGGACUGAGACACGGCCCAGACUCCUACGGAGGCAGCAGUGGGGAAUAUUGCACAAUGGGCGCAAGCCUGAUGCAGCCAUGCCGCGUGUAUGAAGAAGGCCCUAGGGUUGUAAAGUACUUUCAGUCGGGAGGCGUUACCGACAGAAGAAGCACCGGCUAACUCCGUGCCAGCAGCCGCGGUAAUAC